UACAGUUUCUGUACUAUAUUG
rnacentral:misc_RNA from 1 species